CCAUUGGAAGAGGAUUCCUUCAGGCCAGUUUUGCACCACUACGAUGGCCCAAAAUUUCGCCUUGAGCUCUCCAUCGCGGAGGUAUAUACCAUAUCCCAGCUGCUGUGCACAUGAAUUAUACAGUGAAAGCUCCCUUGCACAAUGAAACUUUAUUAGCACAAUAGCCCUUGUGUUCAUAGACUUUAUCAGAAUUCUGCAUUCAUGCUGCCAUGGUGAUCAAAUCGGUUGAUGUUCAGCUUCCGUUUACAUGCUGCCAAGAAAGUUUAUUUUUUGUUUGUGUGUGGAAGUAUGUGACAAAGGACAGUUACUUUUUAUAUCACAUUCUGAGGUCUCAUAGUUUAGUUGCAGUGCUUAUGUGCAGUGCUGAGAUACACAUUAGCCUGCACCAAUUACAAUAUUCCCUUGUUUAAAUCUUAAUUGUUAUUUUCUUGAUGUCUCCUCUGCAAUUCCGUGCAUCCCAUAGGCAUUACUUGUCUGAGGUUGAACAUUAAAUGGUGGACAUUUGCUAAUCAUCCUUCAGAAUUAAGAUAAAACAUGUUAAUCCCCUUCUGCUGGUCAGAUGAUGGCAUUAUACAGGAGCUUGUAGGCAUGGGAACUUGUUUUAGUUUUUUUAUUGGUCUAUUUUAAAUUUGUUAUGCAUGUUGUCUGUUGCGAUAAAAGUUCUUAGAGCAUAAGAAGAUGAGAAGUUUGUUUUUUUCUUAAAAAAGUGUGGUCAUGUCAAUCAUUCUCAUCAAAUAUAAUUUUUGCAGACCUUGUCACUGCUAGACCUGUGCGAGAAGGAAGGCAUCUGAGCUGUUGGGGAGGUGGUUGCCUUGAGCUUCUAGUAAAUAUUAAUCAUCCUUGUAUGUUUUGUGGAUGGUGGUUGGGCAAUGUUGUUUGUUUAAGCGCAAGCUGCUGCUGGUUUCAUUUUCCCUACCUGCAAGGAAGGAAGGAGAAGACCUGGUACUUGGAAGGCCCCUCGAAAAAAGCAAGCUGUGAGGCUGUCUGUGUACUGCGUUGCGUUGUGUCGUCCUGAACCGAAUCAAUCCUGGGUUGGAGAUGUGUAUGUUUUGCUGUCUAUCUAUCUACGUGUGGUAGCAGAGUUGAGUAUACCUGGGCAGAAUGGGACCCCGAAAGAUGGGGCCCUGUAUACUGUGUAAUGGGUUACGAUGCAUGCAUCAUGGCGCCCCAAAGUAAGGGCCGAUGAUGUCGUCGUUCUGAGUUUGUGUUUUGUGGUGUUGUACCUUGAACCUCCUUUGCAUUUGACUUGAUGCUACCUUUUGCACUGUCUGAGAGUGUUGGCUUCUGGUUCACGUUAUGCUGUGAUGUACCAUGGUUGAUUCAGUUUGGGUGUUGUGAAGGCUAAAAACUAAAAGGUGGCUUGUGGAACAUUGUGUCCAGCAGCAGGUUAUGGGUUGCAGGUGCACCUACCAAACUUGGUGUGUGAAACAAAACAAGAGCAACUGAUAAGGUGGUUGAUUGCAUCGGUUCAACUGCUCUCGGUCAGACAGGAAGGAGCAGCAGCUCUUUGUUGGUGCGCUGUCUCCAUGUGUUUUUCAGCACUCACUGAUUCCUGAACUGAAUGCAGUUCUCGUCGGAGGGUACCAUGUCAGCACUCCAAAAAGCUCAGGAAUCCCAGUCGUAAACCGUUGAACAAUCGACGUUUCAGCUUUGGCGGCGACAAGAGAUUGGAUUGAUUGCCUCGUCUGCUGUUAAUUGAAACAGGGCAGCUUAACACGUAAGGUAAAGCAGUCUGCUGCAGUGCAGAGGACGAACGCGACGUGCAACCCGUGCGCCUGCUGUACCUGCUCUGCAGAUACAUGCAUUAGACUAGAAAGAUACAUGCUCUGCAGAGUGAGUAUUAUGCCUCUUGUUCCAUUCUCAUCUCACUGGACAGAAAUCGCCAGUAACCAUUCCUUUUGAGGUUUCAGUUUGAUCCCAGCUCAUUCUGAAUGUGCAGCAGCAGACCAGCGGCAGCACAAGUAGGAGCAGGGGAGGGAAGGGGAGUGUAUGAGUACUUGUACUUGGGGUUGAAUAAGCCAAGUGCACGAAACCUCAGCUAUUGCAAUUAGAUAUAAUCAUCAGAUAGAAGUAAAAAAAAAAAGGCGGUCAGAAUCAACAUUAUAAAGUCAGGGGCUGAAACUGCAACGCACAUCGGUAUCGGUACAGAACAAGAAGGCUGCCCUCAACGAAACACAUCUUCGAGGCCAGGAGCAGGCAGCAGCUCAUCUGAUUUCCGAAUCUCACGAUGGUGGCUGGAUCUCGAUGUUGUCAAUCAACCUCACCUUCCCAAACCAUGCGGCGACACAAAUCACAGCAGGGCGAUCGAUCCUCUCAACAGGCGUCAAGCUCUCUUGCUCCACAAUCUGCGUUCACAACAGCGAUCCAUUUCAUGUUAGACUAACUUUCCCAACUUGCGGGUCACUUACCAUAUACAAAACGUCUCCUGAGAUGUCAUCACGCUAUUAUCAAAGCCGUCUAAUCGAAACCAAACAUUCAGUCUUCCCACAAGUCAGGUUUAAUAACAAAAGGUUUAAUUAUAUAAAAAAGGUUUUCUGAACUGUUUCAUGAUACAAAGCAUAAAUGCCUAAAGCUUUCAAAGGCUCUCGAGGAAAAUACCAGAAUAAGAUACCACAAAACAAUAACCACUUUCGCUAAAUAAAAACAAUAACCACAAUGACGACGACGACCAUGAUGGGAUUGCAGAGAACUCAACCGCCAGAUAAAAGGUCUAAAAACACAGAUAACUUGAACAGCUGAGCAAAAGCCAAGAACAUUACCUCAACAUAGUCAACCUGACCGCCAGCUUCUUCAAGUGUCUGCACUAUUUGAUCUUUUAUUUGUUGGCCAUGACUGUUUCCAUUCAGCGCAGCGGUUCUAGCAUUCACCAGUGAUCUACUGAUGGAUAAUGCCUACAUAGGAGAUCAUCACAAUCGAAGGAAGGUUUAUUUUGAGAAAGGUGCAAAGAUAUUUACAAAGAGUAUAUGCAAUGAUCAACAAUUGAAAAUAAUGCUUUCUUCUAGGAUUUUUACAUGUAGCUCCCCUCCAUAGCUAUAAAUAAAUUUGUUAUAUCUCGCCUAUCGAGUCAUAAGAACCACCUAAAGAUUAUUGUGCCAACAAACUGAUAACAGCUCAAACCGAAAGAGGAGCAACAUGGAAAACAGCGGUGAAAGUAACUCCUGCUGCAAGGUCGAAAUUUUAGUUAUAUUCAAAUUUUCACCUAGAGCCAGUUCAACAACUGCAGAGGAAAGUUGGUGCAUUUCGCACAAGGCUUGUGUCGAAAAGUUGUGAUGUGAGGCCAAACUAGAUAAAGCAUUGAACAAAUUGAACCACGAAUUUGUUGAACAAACUGGCCCAACAGGUUGAUCCAGGAGGGGAAGGAUACACUGGACAGCAAGACAAACCUAAUUCUAAAACACUGUAAUUUCUAUGGUUCUCUGUAUUUUGGCGAUAGCAAUACCACAAAUUGUCAAAAAAAAUCACUACAAAAACAAUCUACCAGCUUUUUUCAGAAAAAGACAAACCUUUUCCCUUUCCUCACACGAUAGGUGCACAUUGCGGGAGCUCAUGGCAAGACCAUCAGCUUCUCGCACUAUUUCUGAGCCAAUAAUCUCAAUGGCAAAAUCAAGAUCAUGAACCUGAAAACAACAAAGCUUUAUCUCAGCAACAGAAACUAACUAGAGUUACACUGAGAUAAACAGAUAAGAGAUGACACACAUUAUGUGGGGAUGCAACUGAAGAGAACCAUCAAAACAGAAAGCAAACAAGUUAACCACUGAAGCAUUAUUUGAUUCAAAAUGGACAUUUGGAUGGAGCAAAAUGUAGUCUCUAAAUAGUCACCAUGUGAUAAGCUAUUUAUAGACUAUCUAGAAGCAAGUUGGUCAAGUUGGUGAAUAGGGCAGUGAAGAGAAGAAAAAAGAACUACUAUUCUGCUAGGUAGUUACCAUCAUUCGAUGGCCAACUUUGCGCUUACUCAUCAAUGUUGUUUUAUUCUAUUCAUAUAACUACUUGAAUUGCCGAACCUGACAGACAGCAAUUAUAAAAGAAACAAAGUAGUAUGUUAAUGCCAAACAAGUUAUUGUUCUAAAAAAGUUACCAUCCGGCAGAGGAAGGAAGGUGGAAAUAAACAGGAGCAAAAAACAUUAUUUUAGAUUUGUUACCAUUACUGUAUCUGGAUGGCCUACUCCUUUUUUUUGGAACUAAAACAAACUGGAUGGCCUACUUUGUUCUCACAUAGCAAGACUGUAUUUUCAGCACUUGAACAGUUGGACCUGACAGACGCCAACCAAAACUGAACAAAGUGCAUGCAUGUGUCAGUGUCAAUGUCAAAGAAGUUACCAUCCGGCAGAUGACGCGCCACUGUUGAUAAUCCUUCUUCCCGAACACCGCGAUGUCCGGCUCGACGAUGUUGAAGAGCUUGGCGACGACGGUAGCCACGCCGCGGAAGAAGACGGGCCUGCUGCUCCCGCACAGCCCCUUCUCCAGCCGCUCCACGCGAAUCCACGUCUCGUGCCCGUACCCAUCGCCCUGCUCCAGGCAGGAGAUCGCGCCCCCGGACUCGCUGGCAUCGGGGCGGCCGCCGCGGACGUAGAGGUCCGGGGGGCAGAAAACCGCGGCAACGGCGCCAGUGGCGGCGAGCUUGCGGAGGUCCCCGGCGAAGUCGGAGGGGUAGGUGGCGAGGUCCUCGGUGGGGGCGAACUGGCUGGGAUUGACGUAGAUGGAGACGACGACGGCGACGGGGCCGGCGGCGGCCGCCACCGCUGCGGAGACGAGCGAGAGGUGGCCGUCGUGGAGGAAGCCCAUGGUGGGGACGAGAGCGACGACCUUGCCCUCCGCGCGACGGCGGCGUGACCACGCGCGCAUCGCCGCCUUGUCACGGAUCACCUCCGGCUCAUGCGCCGCCGCCGGCAUGGGAGCAAAAUGGAAUCGCACGGCAGACUGAUGAGGAGGAGGAAAAGAAAAAAGAAAGAAAUUUGUUGACAAUAAGUGAGAAUGGGAUGCGGCAGCAGAUAAGUUGUGGGGAGGAAACGGAAUCGAGGACGGCCAGAGAGUGGGAGGGGAAAGAAGGAAUUUUCUUUCUGCCUGUUGCAAUUCAAAAACAAUGCAGCAAGUAGCAGCCAGGGUAGACUCUUUCUGGACAUGAUAACGACAUCUACCCGCCAUCGAUCGUUGGAUAAUAUCAAUAAAAACAUUUUUUUUCUUUCCAGCUAGCACAAUGGAAUUGUAGAUGCAGGAUUACAAUCGUUUUUCAAGCUAUCUCGAAAGAAAGCAGGUGCUAACAUGCCACGCUGCUCUCCGCUCGUAAGAUGCUUGCUUAUACUUCCUCCGUUCCAAAUUGCAGGUCAUUUUAGCGUUGAUAUGUAUAGAUGGAAAAACCAAAAUGAUCUACAAUUUGGAACGGAGGGAGAAGCAUAUUAGCUGAGACAUUAUUAGAGGUGCGCAAGGGAAAAUUAAUUUCCUGCGGAGCUCCUUGGUAUCCAAAAGUAAUUUCCACCGGGUUCUUCCAUGUAUCCACAAUGAGUUGGCAGCGAGUUUCAACAAUAUAUACAGACCGUGGAUCACACCACUGGCAUGUUGUGGUCUCUAUGCCUGGUAAAUAGUUGGAUCAGACUGGAGAGUCGGUUCCCAGAAUCCCACGCAUGAUGAACCCUUCAUCUGAGGAACAACCGUGUCAUUCAGCAUCUCAUAUAUUUCAGCACAUUGUGGAUGCUCUUGAUCCCUAGAGUAGAACACAUGAUUCCUCAUGUUCGCCUCAAUCUGACUAAAACCAGGCGCCUUCUUCGACUUACUGCCCUUCAUGAUCUUCCACACAUUUGCUGUCUCAUCCCACAUUCCAUGUGACGCAAAUACAUUGGCCAGAAGCGUGUAGCGUCCUGAAUCAGAGGGUUCGAAUCUGACAAGAUCCUCACCCACUUCUCUUGCUACCUCUACCUCUUUAUGCGUCACACAGGCUCCUAGUAGCGUCCCAAGAAUGGCUUCAUCACGCAUGCCCUGUGGCAUACUGUCGACAAGUUCCUUGGCCUCCCUAACAUACCCUGCUCGACCUAGAAGGUCAACAAGGCAAGAGUAGUGCUCAAUGCUUGGCUCUAUUCCGUAGCCAUGGUAAAUUGAUUUGAAAAUCUUGCGGCCUUUCUCGACCAAGCCAACAUGGCUACAAGCUGACAGAAUGGAUGUAAAGGUAGUUGAACUGGGCUUAUACCCAUGCCUCAACAUCUGAGCAAAGCCCUGUAAGGCAUGGUAACCACAGCCAUGGUUCGCAAAAGCUUGCAUUAUCGACGUCCAUGUUAUGGUAUCCUUCACUUCCAAUCUCUUAAAAGUGAGCUGAGCAGAAAGCAGAUCUCCACUUCUUGAGUACAUUGUGAGCAAGGCAUUUCCUAAAUCAGUUUCUGACAGGAGUCCAAGUGUGACAACCAAGCCAUGGAUUUGCUUAACUUCCAUUGUGCUCUCAAGCAUAACUAGGAUACUAAUUAAUGUACAGAUGUUAGGAGAUACCGCUGAGCGUCGCAUAAGAAGAAAUAUGUUUACGGCUUCAUCCUUACGCUUGGUCUUGGAAUACGCCUCGAUAAUGGUAUUCCAGGUCACCAGGUCUUUUGCAAGCAUCGAAUCGAAUAAUCUCUGGGCCUCAUUCAGCUGGUCAUUGUUGGCAUAAGCAGUAAUCAUCGCAUUCCAUGCCGCAGUAUCCUUUUUUGGCAUCAUAUCAAAGAACUCUCUUGCCCUGCACGCAAAACCAUUCUUUGCCAAGCCAGUGACCAUUAUAGUCCAAGAAAUCACAUUCCUGUGCGGCAUUGUCUCAAACAAUUGAACUGCUUCAUCCACUUUUCCAGCGCUGAGAAAACCGGAAAUCAUGGCAUUCCAAGAAUAUGUGUUCCUCUUGGGCAUCCUAUCGAACAGUUCCCAUGCCUCUUGAAUCUGACCACUGUCAGCGUAGGCCUUAACCAUGACUGUCCAAGCGACCACAUUCCUCUCAGGCAUUCGAUCAAACACCUCCCUGGCUUCCUUGAGCAUCCCAUUGCUUGCGUACCCCUGCACCAUCGCCGUCCACGAAACAACAUUUGGAUCAGGCAUCACAUCAAACAACUGGCGCGCUUCGUGAACACGGCCGGUGCGGCAGUACCCAUAGACCAUGCAGGUCCACGCGACGACGUUCUUCAUCGGCAUUCCGUCGAAUAGCUCGCGCGCGCGGUCGACACGCCCAGCCUUGAUGUACCCGUCGAGCAUAACGGUAUCCAGGUAAAGCCCCCGAGCAGCCGCGGGCGCCGCGCGGAAGAGCGCCUCCGCGCCCAGCAGGUCACGUUGCUGGAGGUGGCGGCUGAUGUUGGCGGCGUAGGAGACGGCAUCCUCCCGGUUUGGCGUUUCGGCGCGAGUGGCCGCGCCGCCGCGCUGCUGCUUGGGUGCGGCGGGGUUUUCGCUGGCCGAACGGAUGCCUUCUCGGGUGGGUUGCCGCGGCGGGUCAUGGGCCUCCGCAACGGUGCCAUGGAGGCGGAUGAGCGAGCACUGGAAGGGCAGCUCGAACGGGGCGCGGCCAGCGGUGAUGCCGCGCCGCCGCGCGAGGGCGAGCGAGUCGCCGCUGCUAGUACGGAUGUCUCCAUGGGCGCUUCGUCGUGGAGGCGUGCGGAACUUAGCGACGGUGCCGUGCCGGUGGAGCGGCGAGCAUUGGGAGAGGAGAGGGAGGACGCGCCGGCGCCGGCAACGGGGAAGCAUUGGGAGUUGGCGGGGAAUUUUGCAACUAGGUCCUCGGUUAGUAACCUAGCUGGUUCAGAACGAGGGGGCCAGCAUGGGUCAGCGUAUAUUAUGCGAAAAGGUCCAUACUAAAGUUUUUUUCGUUCAAGUAUACCCCCAACUGGAUCGCCAUUAUUAAUCGCGAUCCAAUUUUGGAUGACUGCGAACCGCCGGAUCAAUUAUACGCGGCUCAGAACGGCUUCUGGUAUAAUAGCAGCGGCCAUUUGUCGAAAUAGGCCUUAGUGUUUAAGAAUACCUUCAAACACUCCUGGUGGAUUUGAACCGUCCGAUCGACACUCCAGGGCCCAGAUCGAGGGGUGUAAUUUUACGGAAACGACCCUUCAUUGACAUGGCCGGUCAAAUGGGAUGCGAACCGGCGGCGGCGGCCGCCGCGCACGGCGACGUGGUGCCGCCGCCGCUGCUUCCGGCUUGCCCCCGAAAGAUCACUGCACGGCAAGGAGGAGCGAUUCCGGCGAGGAAGGUCGCGGUCCUCGAAGCGUGGAGGACUACCAUGGUGGCGCCGGAGGUCGUCGUCGGCAGAAUUUCAAAUGCAGAACCCAGACAGGACACUGAAAUGAAAAUUUCUUCCUUAUUCAUUAAGAAAAACUCAUGAACGAUCCAUAGAGUAGCGAUCCAACGAACCCAUUCCCACCUUAAUUACGCAAGCAAAAUCCGGCAUGCAUACUCUCAAUACAUACACCGAACUGAAGAAAAGAAACUUCUUUCGGCGGAGAAAGCAAAGCAGGGCACAGCAGAGCAAGACUGCAGGAGCAAAGCAAGGCAUGAAGCAAGGUGAUGAGCAGCUUGGCGGCGGCGCCUAUACAAAGGCGUGCUUCUCGAGCAGCUUGAGGACGUCCUCCUGGUUGUUGAGCUUGGCCACGUCGAUGGGCGUCUUCCCGUCCAGGUUCUGCAGCGUCCUGCAAAAGGCACAAGAUCAUGCAUGAGCAAUCGAGCUUCAGAAUGAGGAAUUUCCGUUUCAGCUCGGUCAUCAGUUUGGUAUCGAUCAUCAUCAAUCAGGUGGACGGUCCCUUACACGGCGGCGCCGCUCUCGAGCAGGAGGGCGACGCAGUCCUUGCGGCCGUAGCCGGCGGCGUAGUGCAGCGCGGUGUUAUUGUUCUUGUCCACCGCGUCCACCGCCGCGCCGGCGUCCAGGAGCACCUGCGCGCACUUGAGCUCGCCGUACCCGCACGCGAAGUGCAGGCCUCUACGGCCUUCCGAGUCCUCCUCGUCUUUGUCCACGCCAUCCUCCAGCGCCUUCUUCAGGCCCUGUCACCGUGACGACCAUGCAUACAGGUAUGUUCAGCAAUGAUCAUAGAGCCAGCCAACUGAUGAUGAUCCAGAGCGCGCUGCACUGCAGUGACAGUAAGGUGGCAGACUGACCUCGACGUCGCCGACGCUCGCAGUGUGGUGGAUGAUGGACGACUCCUCGUACUCGCCUUCCUCCUCGCCGGCCUCUUCCUCGGCCUCGUCGUGCUCCGCGCCGGCGGCCUCGCUCGAUGGGCCGACACCCAUCGCCCGCCCGAACUUCUGCAGAGCCUCGGGGUCGUUCCAGUACCUGCACAAACCAUGCAAGACACUCCAGCAGGCUCAGAGAUCAUUCAAUUCGUCGGUUUGCGCAAUCCUUCCUUGAUGAAUGAACUUGACGACUCACUUCAUCAUGGCAGCGGGGCCGCCGGUCUCGAUCUCGUCGAGGAUGGGCUUGAGCGUGGGGUCCUCCUUCAUGCGCGCGAUGCGAGCCUCGAGCUGCUCCUUGUGCGCCGGGUUGGUGAGCCCGCCCAGCAUCGUCGCCAUGGCCGGGUCCUGCAUCAGCGCGCUGCCCAGCCGCUCCGCCAUCGCCACGAACUGCGGGUUCUGCAUCAGCUGCUGCAUCGUCGCCACGUACUUCUGCGGGUCCAGCGCCGCCGCCGCCUGGGGCACCGCCUGCUUCGCCGCCGGCGCCUGCCGCGGGGACACCACCGUCUUCUGCAGCUGCUCCGCCAUCUGCGUGAACGCCGGGUCCUUGGCGAUCUGCUCCGCCAUCUCCUUGAUGCUCGGGUCCUGCUCGGUCCAUCCAUUCGUUCAUUUAAUUCCAACAAGAAAUAUCAAAUACUACAUCCAAACCGUAUCGAUUUCCAAAUAAGUGAAAUGAAAUGGCAUGAAAAUUUUGGGUUACCAAAAUCGAACCACGAAAAGCUAGCACUUUUUCACGCAAGGGAUCCGAGACUAAAAACGGCACGGUCUUCACAUGGUACAUGUACUACUGCCGACGGAGAUUAAGGCUGUUCAGCUCAAUUGAGUUUGUGAAUGAAUGAAUGCACCGGAUGAACAGCGUCAUGAACCCGGUCCAUCAUCUUUGCUAAUCUCUACUGAGCUUCACAUAUAAGAACUACUUCUAUGUUGCAAAAAAGGAAGGUGAUGCCUCAGCUGCGUACAUUAAGGAGGUUCAUCAUGGUGGAGAAGUCGAAGGGGUUGGCCGGCGCCGACGGCCCGGCCCUGCGCGUCGCCCCUGCUGCUGGCUGCUGCUCCUCCGCCGGCGAAGGCUCCUCUGUCUUGACCGUAGCAGUCUUCUCCUCUGCACAAACAACUCCAGUUAAAUUAUCUCUUCUCCAGCUCUUCAACUCCUUGGCGCAAAUCGCUCACGCAACAAAAGAAAAGAAAAGAAAAGGGAGAGAGAUUCCUGACUGACCUUGAGCAGCCAUGUCGACGGCGGCCGGGAAGGAAGCAGGCGCUGGCGCUGUUGCCCCUUGUUAGCGAUGAACCAGCCGAGGAUGACGAUAAGGUGCUGCUGUGGAGAGGAGGAAACGCGAGGGCGACCAACCAGAGGUGUCCACCGUGUGGUUUCGUUUUUAUAGGGGAAGGGUGCAUAAGCGCUUGAGACCUUGAGUGACUGCGGUUUCUACACAUGGAUGGAUGGAGAUGGAGCAAGUAGCAUCUCCUUCGACACAGCAAGGGCAAGGUAGAUCUUCCUAGCAAUUGCUCAGUUUUUUUCAAGGUAAAAAAAAACGCCGAUCUUUCUGAAUUCUUAAUCUACGUCUAGUUUUUUUUUUUAAGUUGUCAAGAAAAGGCACGUUGCUUUUUUAAGGUCACAUGGCAACCACGUAUAGAAUUUCAAAGCUGAAGUAUGAAAUACUUUCAAUUCCCGUGAUUAUCAUUUGCUUUCAAUUUUCUACGGAUAUCACGGUGAAAUGAGACCUUUUCUUUUCUCUAUAAUAAAGUCGUGCGUUGUGUAUUAGGGGGAAAAUAAAUGAAAACUUAUCUGUGAAAGGAAAAGAUAACCAAAUCAGCAUGAAUGAUAUUUUACCACUGAAUUUUUUUCGAAAGAUUACCACUGAUUUUCCCUAAAUAAAAAAGAAGUGAAUUUACCGUGUGAGUUGGGUCUUGGGUGAGCCUUUAGCAUCUACAGGGGACAGUGCGUGGGCCAGGAGAUUGAGGUGCCAAGCUUCUUGCGUGGCAUUGGGAAUCCAGGACAGGGAUUGGGAUAGCAAAUGUGUGGAUGGAAUUGCUUCUCCAGGAAACACCCUACUAUUGCGACAAAAUCCAUGAUGUUGUAUCUCUUCUACUAAUAUUUGCCACCUGUCACCAUUAUUGGACAGUACUCAUUCUAAUUCUACCACUCAUAAUGUUAUGAUUUUCACUGACUAUGUUUUCUUUCCCCUUUCUGAGAGUAUACAAGUGCGCAUUAUUACUAGCCUUCACUACAUUGAUAGAAUUAGUGCGGCAAAAGAUAGGUGACAUGCCAAAUCUGGGAACACCCCCCUCCCUCUGGCAUGAUCCAAAUAUGAAAGAACCCCCAGCGAUAAAAAGAGCGGGGUCAGAACGCCAGGUGCCAGAAUACUGUUACUAUAGUAAUACAGAAUACAAAAUAUAGCCGGAGGCACCUUCGUAUGCAUUAGUGUUUUUUUUACCACCCAACAAGGUAAAACCACGGCAAAAAUGCAGUGACAGAUGAGGGCAAAACAUGCAGCUGAAGCGUCUUCAGAUGCUUGCCACUCUGGCAGUGGCACAUUGGAGAACCCAACAGCCUAGCAGUCCCAGUCGCAGCAGCUCAAAAGGCGGAAAUGCUUCAACCAGCAGGAUCAAAACUUCCAACUGUGGGGCUCUUCAGCUGCAUGUGUCUGCCACACCGGAACCCAAGGGCCUAGCAGGGCCAGCAAAACUAGCUCAAAGUGGGCUGAUUUUGCUGUUUCUUCAACAGAUCCUCUACUUCUCUUUGACCAAGAUCAGUACAAACUCCUCCUUUAGGGAAACAAAUUUCCCAGGUCUUUCUGGAACAUUACUAUAUCACUGCAAAAGCCAUUUCUAGGCAGCAAAAUCAGCCCAGAACGUGAUGGCACUUUCAUGAAUAUUUGUGGAUUCCAAUAUUAAGGUCCGAUGAUAUGGAGGUCAGGUAUGGUGAUGUUUGGUGCCAAACAGCCUUGAACACUCGCUUCUGGUGUGCCUGAACAGACUGGCACGGCUUCUGGCCAUGAUACCUGAUGUCGAAAAUGUGGAUCACAGGGUCUGCAGAGCCAGAUGACACGUACCACCCAUCAGGAGACCAUGACUGGUUAAUCAGAGCUGACUGAGACUCGCUGCUCUCUUGCUUCCAACCGAAUGCAUGAACCUCAGUCUGCCUAAGCCUGAUGUCAAACAAGCGGAGCUGACUGCCUGGCGCCCUGUUAGCAAGAGAAAACAUACAGAUUGUUUUAAGCAUGCACCCCCAUGCAUUAAACGAGCACAACUGACAACCAUUGCACAAUGCACAUAGGACCCCACAUAAUAACUAUGUAUGUAAACUAAAAUGGAUUUUUCUUCAUAAAACUAGAGCUUCAGCAGUACAUUGACCUCCUAUGUUAUAAUGCAAGAAUAGGUUGAGAUGACUAAGAGGUUAAAGAUUACAACUAUGAAAUGGAUGCGUUAAUCCAGAAACAGCAUUCUUGGUCUGUUUGGAACUAUCGCAAUCACUGUGUGUUCAAUGGGGAUCCACCUAACCUGAAUGGAGUUCUAACUGUGCUAAGAGAAGAACUGCACUUGUGGAGUUUGGCUGGGGCUCAAGGAAUUUCUCAUCUCCUCGCCCUAGUACCCUUGCAAGUUUAGCUGGUGUUUCUGGUCUAGGUCUGGUCAUGGCUAUUUAGUUAAAAGGUGAUUGUUUCUGUGUGAGUUUUUUUUUUGGGAGUUCUGUACAGGGCCCCUAAACCUAUAUGUUACUUGGGGUUUCUAAACCCCUUUUUCUUCUUAACAUAUUGAUCCGCAGCUCCUCUCUUGCGUGUUCGAGAAAAAAAAUACUUACCCUGUCUGCACCAUGUAUAAGUUGAAAUCGCAUGGAUUUGUUAAUACACUCAUGCAUUUGCUAUCAAUUAGGUUCUUGAACUCUGUCCUUCCAGCAGAGAGAUCAAAUCCUAUUAUCCUCUUGUCGCAGCCAACUGAUAUUAUAGUUUUUUUCUGUUGCAAUCCAGCAACACCCAUGACAGCGGAAGAAUGGAAAUCCUUGUGCACUCUCUUGUGUUUCCAUGAAUCAUCUUUGUCUUCCCAAAGUAUAACAGCGUGAUCACUUCCCCCGGUCACAAAGCAUGCAUCAGACCAGGGCAUGAAACUGAUGUUGUUUAUGAUUCCCUUCGUGUGAGGCUUCUCUGGUAGGAAAGUAACCUUCCUCUGUUUCAGUACAGGGAAAAAAUUGUGGAACGCCCUUUAGUAAUAUUUCAAGAAAGUAAAUCAUCUGUUACUCACAAAAAUAAGGCAUAGAAAAGUAAACCUAGGGUUAACAGAACCAAUUCUUUCAAGGUUACAUCACCGUAACAACAAAUCACAUUAAGGCAUUGAUGCCUACAAGUGAAAACAGGAGAAUAGCAUGAAAAUAGUCAUUUAAGAACAGCUAAGUUACGAUUCGUUAAUUAAAGGUACACCACAUCAGCAUCCAAUCAUUUUUCCCAUCACACUUGAUAGAACAAAAAGAAAGAAAAAAUUCAGUCUCCUAACUAUAAUUUGCAGGGAUUAAGUAAAUGCACGAACAGGAAUAAUUAAAAGAACCAUCUCUCAAAUUCCUCCCUUUAACAAUAUUAUUUAAAAAUACUAAUGAUUUGAAAUCAGAUAUGCAGAAUUUGUUAUUAGUCUCAUUUUAACAACUGCUCCUAGAAUAGAGAAAGCUGUGUAGCAGGAUGUAAGGGCAUGCACCAGUUUUAACAGAGGCCUUACCUGUCCUGAUAUAAGGUUUGUCAUUGAAACCUGAGAAUCACCAUUAUCAGCAGUGUAUACAGCAAAAAUUGUGUCACCAUCUGGAUGCCAAGCUAUAUCUUCAGGCCAUCUAUGCUUUGGGGAAAAGCAAUCUGUUUUGCCACGAAAUGAGAUAGAAGGUCUGCGAGUACAAUAACGUAAAUUGUCAUGGUGCGAAAUUGAAAUGAUACGGUGAUACCCACCCAACAAAAUUUACCUUUUCAAUAAAGCAAACAGUCUUUGCAUCAGGGUGGUUCCCCAACCAUUUCAAGUUAAAGUGUACAAUGUACUCAAACAAUAGGUGGAUCUAUCACAGAGAACUAUAUUCUCCUUAGUCCUUAUAGUUACCUGCACUACUGGUAUAUAAAUUUAGCAUUGACAUUUUUACAUCACAUGUGAUGGGAUUGUAGCAUUUUUUCCUUCAAAAAGUACUGAUAUGGAACAUGGAUAUACCAUAUACAUAAAGAAAAAAUCAUACACUUCCAGCAUGUUGUAUCUUUACUCAAAUUUUAUCCAUUUUAGCCUGCCUCCUCAUGAGUACAUGGCUCCUUUAAACAGCCACGCAACUGGAUAUGCCAAUACAAAUCACUAAGAAACCAACUAACCUAGCAGAUAAGAUCACACUAUUGCUGCCUUGCUUGGAUGGAGCAGCCAUGCCGCUUGGCUGACAUGUUAAUCCUAGCCUGUCCGGUGACAGUUAAAUAUUUUACGAGAUUCAGAAGGCUAAGGUCAUUUCAUGUUAAAAUAGUAUAUCAGCCGUCACGCCCAUACCAAGUUCACUUUAAUUAAAACAAUAAGCUAAAAUUUUGCUGCCGCAUGUUGAAGGAGAGUUGUUGGGUGUUUGACCAUAGUGGUGUUACCCAUGGCACAUGUACUGUGUUGGCACAUCCUUUUUGGCCACUAACUGUGUUGAACUUUCAGUUUUGUCCCAGAGCAUUACAACAUUUUGGUUAUCUGAACCUGGGCUGCUGAAUUUAAUAUGUAAGUGUUGAGGAGAUGCAAGAAGUGAAACAAGAGACAAACAGUAUCAGGGAGCAAAUUAAAUUGCCUUUUCUGCUAAUGAAUGUUGCAAGGUAGACAUGCGCUAAGGUGGGCACUUAAGUCUUAACUGCAAAAAUCCACACUUGAGCUUCAUAAACGAAAUACUUAAAUCCACGUAAUUAAUUAUUGAUAUCAACCUCGUGUAUGCAUUUAUUAUCUACUUAGUGUCUUCGAGAACCCUAAGGCUCCUGUUGGCACAAUUCUACUAACCUAAUGCAAAACCCUCAUUAAGUACUGCUGAGUCAGUCAUUAAGACUUAUAUAAAGUACGGAUUUAAUUUUUGGCAAAGCCAUAAGUUUCAAUUCAUCAUCAAGUAACUAUAACCACUUAUGCUGAGCUCAUUGGAAGUGUCAUUGGGCACACACUUUACCCAGUUCAUAUUUCACUACCAUUUUAAAAAACUAGUGAAAUAUCUCUGAAAUAUGUUUGAAAGCUAAGUUAAAAAAAAGUUAGCAGGGAUGAAAAGAAAACAGCAUGCUGACAAUUCAGAGUGACAUUAUGCCUACCCUCUUGGCUCCACCUGCCACAAAGUAACCAAUCCAUCCAACGCACUGCAUCACAAGAAACCAUAAGAUUAAAAGUUUGGAAAACUUAAGCAAACUUCUCAUAUCAUUGGUAAUUAAAAUUAAUUAUUUCAUUUUGCUAAGAUGUCUAUCGGAACGGUGGUUGAGAACUUAGUCUGCCCUCCCAGUUUACAAUUCUAAACCAGCAAACCUAUAGUGCUGCCCACAAAAAAAAAAUGUUUCACAAAGAAGUACAGGCGUCCAACUUGGAACUUUGGAAGAAGAUUGCUUUGUGAGCCUGUGCUUGUAGACUGACAUUACAUAACUUUUUUUUUCGUGAAUUGUUGCAGGCAACCAGGUCGAAGCAAUUAAAAAUUAUGGAGGUGGAGAAAUGAUGCCAAAGAUGCCAAAGGUGACACUAAUAGUUUUUUUGAGCUUCUCAUUGCAUGAUCAUCCGUGAACUAUAGCCUACACCAAAUUCGCU
rnacentral:lncRNA from 1 species